rnacentral:rRNA from 1 species
AGUGAACGCUGGCGGCGUGCCUAACACAUGCAAGUCGAACGAGAACGGAUUAUAGCUUGCUAUAAUUGUCAGCUAAGUGGCGCACGGGUGAGUAAUGUAUAGGUAAUAUGCCUCUUACUAAGGGAUAACAAUUGGAAACGAUUGCUAAUACCUUAUAUUCCUUUUUAUCAAAAGAUAAAAAGGGAAAGAUUUAUUGGUAAGAGAUUAGCCUGUAUUGUAUCAGUUAGUUGGUGGGGUAAUGGCUUACCAAGACGAUGACGCAUAACUGGUUUGAGAGGAUGAUCAGUCACACUGGAACUGAGACACGGUCCAGACUCCUACGGGAGGCAGCAGUGGGGAAUAUUGCACAAUGGACGAAAGUCUGAUGCAGCAACGCCGCGUGGAGGAUGACACAUUUCGGUGCGUAAACUCCUUUUAUAUAAGAAGAUAAUGACGGUAUUAUAUGAAUAAGCACCGGCUAACUCCGUGCCAGCCGCCGCCGUAA